AAGUCGUAACAAGGUUUCCGUAGGUGAACCUGCGGAAGGAUCAUUACCUUUCAAUGCAGCAGAAUUGGGAUGGUUGAGUAUCUCGCCUCUCAGUUCUGCCUGUAUUCUACCCUUGUUUGUCAUAUACUAUUAUUUCCUCGGCAGGCUUGCCUGCCGAGUGAAACCAUUUAUAACCUUUUUAAUUUUCAAUCAGCGUCUGAAAAAAUUUAAUAAUUACAACUUUCAACAACGGAUCUCUUGGUUCUG
rnacentral:misc_RNA from 1 species